UGGGGAAUUUUGGACAAUGGGCGAAAGCCUGAUCCAGCAAUGCCGCGUGUGUGAAGAAGGCCUUCGGGUUGUAAAGCACUUUUGUCCGGAAAGAAAUCCUUGGCUCUAAUACAGUCGGGGGAUGACGGUACCGGAAGAAUAAGCACCGGCUAACUACGUGCCAGCAGCCGCGGUAAUACGUAGGGUGCAAGCGUUAAUCGGAAUUACUGGGCGUAAAGCGUGCGCAGGCGGUUUGCUAAGACCGAUGUGAAAUCCCCGGGCUCAACCUGGGAACUGCAUUGGUGACUGGCAGGCUAGAGUAUGGCAGAGGGGGGUAGAAUUCCACGUGUAGUAGUGAAAUGCGUAGAGAUGUGGAGGAAUACCGAUGGCGAAGGCAGCCCCCUGGGCCAAUACUGACGCUCAUGCACGAAAGCGUGGGGAGCAAACAGGAUUAGAUACCCUGGUAGUCCACGCCCUAAACGAUGUCAACUAGUUGUUGGGGAUUCAUUCCUUAGUAACGUAGCUAACGCGUGAAGUUGACCGCCUGGGGAGUACGGUCGCAAGAUUAAAACUUAAAGGAAUUGACGGGGUCAUAGCUGUUUCCU
rnacentral:rRNA from 1 species